GCCGAUAUAUCCCGUCUUCUUUUCACCUGGCCUCUGCUCUGCUCACCGCCCGCAAUUCCUCCCUCUUCCCCUCGCGGCCGCCGUCGCCGUUGCGUCUUAUCGACGUGCGUUCGGAGCCCGUCGCGCUCCCUCCACCGUCCGAUUUUCGUUCCAGGUACCGGUGCGGCCUCUUGAAGCGGAUGAGAAAGGGGCCAGAGGACUCACAAGAUUGGUCUCUCUCCAACUGCCAGAAUUGAUAUUGAUGAGAGUGUGUUUGCCAUGACAGUCUUGGUGUUCUAAUUCUGGUAAGUGAGCAAAGUUAGAUAGUAAGUGGUACAACAUCAUGAGGAAAACUGCAAAGGGGGCUGAAAGAGAGGUGGCAUACAUCAUGUAUGAUGAUGAAUAGAACCAACAAGGUUGUAGAGGCUGACUAAGGAUCAUCCAUAACUUCAAAUAAUCUCUUGACAGUGGUGAUCCAAUCGAGGAAGCUGUCUGGAUUGAGCCUGCUGUAAAAUUCAGGAAGCUUGGCUUUGAUGUUGAAGAGCCUAUCAUGGUCUUGCGCGACUCUUAUUAAGCAGGGGGAGAUGAACCAGCCCUUGAUCUAGACCAUGGUGGUGGAAGAGUUGAUGAGAUGCUUAGAAGGAAUAUCCGAUGGCACAUCAUCCUCCCGGUUUGAUCCUUUAAGGUGGAAAUCAAGGCCUACAGCAUGAUCAUGCUCUGCUUGUAGUUGUGCUAUAUGUUCUUGCAACUGUUGGAUCUCCAUAUCUGACAUUUAAUGAGAUGGAGAAAUAACAAAAGACUUGAAGAUCAAGAUGGGAAAGAGAACAGAAACCCCAACCUGAGCCAAGCAUUUGAUAUUGCAACAACUGUUACAGCAACCUUAUUUUGAUAAACAUGUUAUUUCUCUUCAGUAUUCCUGUUCAUCUACUAUUUCUGUUGUGUAGAAAGCUUAGACAAGAUUUAUUUGUAAAUAAAAAAAAAAUCAUUUUCC